rnacentral:rRNA from 1 species
UGGGGAAUUUUGGACAAUGGGGGCAACCCUGAUCCAGCAACGCCGCGUGAGGGAUGAAGGUCUUCGGAUUGUAAACCUCUUUUAUAGGGGAAGAACUAUGCCAUGAAUAAUGGUAAAUGACGGUACCCUGUGAAUAAGCCACGGCUAACUUCGUGCCAGCAGCCGCGGUAAUACGAAGGUGGCAAGCGUUACUCGGAAUUACUAGGCGUAAAGCGCAGGUAGGUGGUCGGAUAAGUCUGUAAUGAAAUCUCCCGGCUUAACUGGGAGGGGUUUAUGGAUACUGUCUGGCUUGAGUGUGGGAGAGGUCACUGGAAUUCCUGGUGUAGCGGUGAAAUGCGUAGAGAUCAGGAGGAACACCUAUGGCGAAAGCAGGUGACUGGCCCAAUACUGACACUGAGCUGCGAAAGCUAGGGGAGCAAACAGG